CCUACGGUGGGCAGCAGUGAGGAAUAUUGGUCAAUGGGCUUACGCCUGAACCAGCCAAGUCGCGUGAGGGAAGACUGCCCUAUGGGUUGUAAACCUCUUUUGUCAGGGAGCAACGCCGGCUACGUGUAGCCGGACUGAGAGUACCUGAAGAAAAAGCAUCGGCUAACUCCGUGCCAGCAGCCGCGGUAAUACGGAGGGUGCAAGCGUUGUCCGGAAUCAUUGGGCGUAAAGAGUUCGUAGGUGGCACGUUAAGUCUGGUGUUAAAGGCGGAAGCUCAACUUCCGUAGGGCACUGGAUACUGGCGAGCUUGAAUGCGGUAGAGGUAAAGGGAAUUCCUGGUGUAGCGGUGAAAUGCGUAGAUAUCAGGAGGAACAUCGGUGGCGUAAGCGCUUUACUGGGCCGUAAUUGACACUGAGGAACGAAAGCCGGGGUAGCAAAUGGGAUUAGAUACCCCAGUAGUC
rnacentral:rRNA from 1 species